GGAAACCGGGCCACCUGAGUUCACCAUGUUUAAUAAAGCUAUCUUUUUCUGGGCAUCGUUUAAUAAAACUAGCUUAUAUUAAUUCUGGACAAAUCUAAAGUUUCGUGCUUUAGAUUACGAAGUUUUAUCUAAUUUUAUAAUCUUUGAACUUGAGAAGUAUGGAAGACCUUACGGGAAAUGAAGCCUACGAGUACGAGCUUUUUUGGGUCAAAACGAAGGCUACGAUGGAUUCAAUUGACUGGAGUUUGCCGGAGCUGAUGUAGCAUUGAAGCUUGACUAAACUGGAUCUUGAAGGAGUCCCGGAACGGAGCUUAAUCCGGAUCGGAGCUUGACGGAGCACUUGCCCUAACGACAGUGACAAUGACCGGAGUUUGUGUUAAAUAAUUCACAACCUCCGUUGAGCCUUGUCCGCGAAAUUCCAGUCGUCGUCUUGUUCUCCACGCCCGUGCACCGGAAAAUCAAAGUCACCGUCGUCUACAAGCUCGGAUAUGUUGUCCAAGUUUCUUGUUAUUGCUAUUUAGGUCCAUCAUCUUUUGAUUAUCUACAAGUUGCCCUGCAAUUUCAAAAUCAAAAUGUUAAUGUAAAAAAAAAACUAAAAACACUAUU